AUCGCUUGGCCUUUUGGCUAAGAUCAAGUGUAGUAUCUGUUCUUAUCAGUUUAAAAUGAAUGGGCAAGAUCUAUAAGGAAAUGAGGAAAUGCUUAUGACAAGAUGUUAAAUAACAGGAAAACAGAACUUGGAUUUACACAUAUGCACUAUUGAUACCAUGUAUAAAAUAGAUAACUAAUAAGAACAUGGGCUUCCC
rnacentral:snRNA from 1 species